rnacentral:rRNA from 1 species
CACGUAGGGAGCAAGCGUUGUCCGGAUUUAUUGGGCGUAAAGAGCUCGUAGGCGGAUCGUUAAGUCAGGGGUGAAAUCCUGGGGCUCAACCCCAGAACUGCCUUUGAUACUGGCGAUCUCGAGUCCGGAAGAGGUGAGUGGAACUCCUAGUGUAGAGGUGGAAUUCGUAGAUAUUAGGAAGAACACCAGUGGCGAAGGCGGCUCACUGGUCCGGUACUGACGCUGAGGUGCGAAAGCGUGGGGAGCAACAGGG